rnacentral:rRNA from 1 species
UACGUAGGGGGCAAGCGUUGUCCGGAAUCAUUGGGCGUAAAGAGCUCGUAGGCGGUUUGUUGCGUCUAUCGUGAAAACCUGCAGCUUAACUGUGGGCUUGCGGUGGAUACGGGCAGACUUGAGUUCGGUAGGGGAGACUGGAAUUCCUGGUGUAGCGGUGAAAUGCGCAGAUAUCAGGAGGAACACCGGUGGCGAAGGCGGGUCUCUGGGCCGAUACUGACGCUGAGGAGCGAAAGCGUGGGGAGCGAACAGG